rnacentral:lncRNA from 1 species
GAGCCCCGGAGCGCCGGGGCUGCCCUCCCCUCCGGGCUCCGCCGCGGCUGCGAGCACGCUCCCCCUGCGUCUCUCCCCAACAGUUUUACAACAGCACAAAUAUCUGUGUGGGUUGGGGAGAGGUUUUUCUUUUUUUUCCCUCCUCUCUCCCUAAUCUCAGCGUGAUCGUUCCGGGACACACGCGCGCACGCACAAGCCUCCCCGACCUUCUCCCCCCUCCCCCCACCCCCGAAAUGCCUGGCAUGAGGGUUUUCCUUGGAGGAACGAGGCUCAGCCGCGGAUCGAGAGCCACCGAGCUCCCAGGCACCGCGUCUCGGUGCACUUUCCCCCAGCUCCGCACGCAGGUGAUUUUAAGAGGAUUUGAAAUCUUUGGAUUGUUUAAAAUAACAAAGGCCUCUAAGCUCUGAGUGUGACAAUGAAGUCUUCAGCCUGAACUCAUGACAGAAACGUUUCAGCCUGUCUCUUGUGAAUCGUGAAAACCUGAACAUCAGCAAAGAAAGGCACCUCAUUUAUUCCUCUUUUUCCUCACUCUGCUAUGUUCUUCUUCCUGGUUUUUAUUUCAUAGGGUAUAACCAUAGUAAUGUAUCAUCAUUAUUAUUAUUUUUAUUAUUUUAACUCGGGCAAGUGAACUUAAACAGGGAAAUUCAUCAGUUUCUAGAUUCAGCACCAGCCUCUGCAGUUUCAUUAUUCCUGUUGACAAUUAGGGAGCAGAGAAGUGCGGAUGUCUGGCCUGGGAGCGCUUGUGUAUUGCCCCCAAAUUACACAUUCCUGUUCAUAAAGAGUGGAACAAAGUAUGAGCGCAAACGUCAUUGCUGGUGUCUCAGGCAACUACUCACAUCUUAAUUGAAAAUGAUCAAAUAACAGCGUUCCCUUCGACAAACAAACGACAUGUACUGCCGUGCCGCUGAAGAGGGCUGAGCUGGAAAGCCCGGAGUGGCAGCCGAGCUUGGCCGUAAGGUCCCCGCGGGCACUGCACGGGUCGUGCUUCCCUUCACCUCGGCUCCGGCAGGCAGGCGCUCCCCUUUUCCCCAUCGCGCUUGCCGCUGCUCCGGUUUGGGUUUUGCCGUGUCCCCGGAUACAUUGCUUUCGCUUCUGCUGGUGAUCUGCAGGUCAAUGCCAUAGCGAUAGAUCGGCUGUUCCUCGCACCUCCACUGACACUUGGAAAUGUAAUUUAGGAGGAUCAGGCCGCCUCGGUGCUGGAUGGACCAAAGGUUUGAUAGCACYGUAGUCAAAGGCCACAGAGAUGCAAAGCUUUUACCAAGCAGCAAAUGAAGUCUUUUCUGAGCCAACUGUUCCACCUGGACCCCACUACAAAUUAUUGUUUUCAAUUACCACCUGUGUACUCCUUCCCAUGCAACUUAUUGAUGUAAAAUUACAACAACACUGGUAUAAAUAAGUUAUGCUGCGGUUGUAAAAUGGAAGAAAUUUUGUUGUAGCAAUUAUGUUCAGCAAGAUGACAAAAUAAAUUUCCAGUGCUGUGCUUGCA